GCGAGCCGUAUACGCUGAAAGGUGUACGUACGGUUCUGAGGGGGAGACAUGAAACCUACUUUGGUUACAAGGAAAGGCGCCUGUUCUCUACCCUAC
rnacentral:ncRNA from 1 species